rnacentral:rRNA from 1 species
GACGUAGGGCGCGAGCGUUGUCCGGAUUUAUUGGGCGUAAAGGGCUCGUAGGCGGUUUGUCGCGUCGGGAGUGAAAACGCCGUGCUUAACACGGCGCUUGCUUUCGAUACGGGCAGACUAGAGGUAUGCAGGGGAGAACGGAAUUCCUGGUGUAGCGGUGAAAUGCGCAGAUAUCAGGAGGAACACCGGUGGCGAAGGCGGUUCUCUGGGCAUUACCUGACGCUGAGGAGCGAAAGUGUGGGGAGCGAACAGG